UUUUUUUUCUGGGUUAAGUACCUGAUUAGUGAUGUGCUCCCACGAUAAAGGUGACCCCAACAUUGUCUGUGUUGUUAGCAUUAUUCUGCCUGCUUGCGAGAGGGGUUUUCGUGGAUCACUUAUUCAUAUAUUCUGUGUUGUUAGUCUUUGGAGUCUCUUCGAUUAAGCCCAAUAUAAGGUAGGAAAUGUAAACAUGGGAGGGGUUUUCGCUGUUUGAAAAUAUAGCAGUCCCUUCUUCCUUGGCGUGGGCUGUUUGGUUUCUCAAAUGUCUUUGGCUUAUUUUAUUGAAGUUGAGAUAAUUUAUUUAAUCUUAGCAGUAUUAAUGUCUCUUUGAGAGUUUAGAUAUUUCAUUUUUUUUUUCAAUUUUUUUUAUUACUUCUCAUUUUAAUUUAUUGAGUCUUCUUCCACUGUAGAGCCUUAGACAGCCACCUAACUUGCUUAGUGGAAAAGUUGGCUCUUAUUAUAAGUUGAUUGAACUUUAUACAAAUUAUAUAAUUUAAUAAUGAAUCAAUGAUUAUAAUUUUAUAUCUGAAAACAACCAGCCAUUUAAUAAGCAAAUCGAGAUGAUGAACUCAAAUUUAACAAAGUUUUGAUCCAGGCAUAGGCAUAUAUAUUACGGAUAUAUAAUUGGAUAAACACUCACCACAGCUUGCAACUUCUUAAAACAUAUUCCAAACGCCAUAUACAGGUUUUAUUCAGAGAUCAGAUACUACAUAUAUAUCACCCAUAUAUGCAUAAUCAUACGGUUGCCUGCAGGCUUCAGCAAGCCCACUGCAUGCCCACACGAAAGUGAAACUUACCUGCACAUAUAUAUAUAAUCUAGUUACCUUUCCCUCACCUUUCCUUAUAGCCCAAGACUAAAGCAGAAAGCAGCAUACAUUUUAAUCUAGUUUAUCCCUGUAGUCUUCAUGUGACACUGUUUUUGAGUUAGGAGAAGCUCUGAUAUUACCAUAAAUCUUUUGGCCUGACCUGAAAUUUAGAUAUCCUGUUAGCCCGUCAGAGAAAUAUUUCACAUUGCAUUGUCUUUUAUUAUUAGUAUUAUUCUGCUUUUGACCAUAAAUGGGCUUAUUGGAUAUUUGGUUGUGGCACUGGUGGAAAUCUUUUCAACAGAUGCCCGAGGCAAGGAUCCAGGGUCCAGCUGGUUCUCUGUAUUCAAGUUGUACUUUUGGCACUGGCUUGUGGCAGCAAGUGUUCUUAUUGUUUACUUGGCUGUAAUUUAUGGGACAUACGUUCCUGAUUGGAAAUUCACUGUCCUGAACAGCAAUAGUACUGUUGAGAUGACAUAUUGAUCAACAUGGGAGUUGAUUUAUUCAGCAACAGCUGGAACAUUGCUUGAUCAUUCAAAGGGUCAAGGCUAAGAAACCUUCUUGGAAGAUUGGUUCCUCGUUUGCUACCAAGAAGGCCACAAAAAGUUCACCUAAAGUCCAGAUUGAUGCUGAUUUGGACCUGAUAGACGAAGAUAGCCUAAAGUCCAGAUUGAUGCUGAUUUGGACCUGAUUUGGUUCCUCAUUGUAAUUUUUUUUUUUUUUUGAAAUAGUAGCAGCAUUAUAUUAGUUU